rnacentral:rRNA from 1 species
CACUAUGCUCAGCCCUAAACUUUGAUAGUUCAAUUACACUCGCUAUCCGCCCGGGUACUACGAGCUCCGGCUUAAAACCCAAAGGACUUGGCGGUGCUUAAGAUCCACCUAGAGGAGCCUGUUCUAGAACCGAUACUCCCCGUUAAACCUCACCCUUUCUUGUUCUUACCGCCUAUAUACCGCCGUCGUCAGCUUACCCUGUGAAGGACUAGUAGUAAGCAAAAUUGGUACGGCCCAAAACGCCAGGUCGAGGUGUAGCGUAUGAAAGGGGAAGAAAUGGGCUACAUUUCCUAAACAGGAAAUACGAACAAUAAACUGAAAUGUAUAUUAGAAGGAGGAUUUAGCAGUAAAUGAAAAAUAGAGUGUUUCAUUGAAACCGGCCCUAAAGCGCGCACACACCGCCCGUCACUCUCCCCAAGAUACAGUUUUCUUAUAUUUAAUUACCCAAGUAAAUACAAGGGGAGGCAAGUCGUAA